CUAACUCUGUGCCAGCAGCCGCGGUAAGACAGAGGAUGCAAGCGUUAUCCGGAAUGAUUGGGCGUAAAGCGUCUAUAGGUGGAUUUUCAAGUCCGCCAUCAAAUCCCAGGGCUCAACCCUGGACAGGCGGUGGAAACUACCAAGCUGGAGUACGGUAGGGGCAGAGGGAAUUUCUAGUGGAGCGGUGAAAUGCGUUGAGAUCGGAAAGAACACCAACGACGAAAGCACUCUGCUGGGCCGACACUGACACUGAGAGACGAAAGCUAGGGGAGAAAGUGGGAUUAGAUACCCCAGUAGUCCUAGCCGUAAACGAUGGAUACUAAGUGUUGUGCGUAUCGACCCGCGCAAUGCUGUAGCUAACGCGUUAUGGUAUCCUGACCAACAACGGGUAGCUCCAUU
rnacentral:ncRNA from 1 species